AAAGAAAAGUACAGUCAGCGAUAAAAUCUUGUAUAAGAUUUUUCUUUUACAAAAAAAAAAAUGUUAAUUGUGUAAUGUAUAGUUACUGAAGUUGGGAGGUCUGCAAUACGUACAUAGUUUUUGACCGAGCGAGCGAGAAAAGCGAGUGAAACGUAUUGUAUUUAGGCAAAAAUGCUUUCGUUUAUCUGCUCGGCUGUUCUACUCUACAUACGAACCUUAAUAGUAACGAAUGUAUUAAAAAUCAUGGAACAGUAAUCUGUUCCAUAAUUUUUAAAACAUUCGGGAAGAGUGUAAAAAAUAGCAAUUCAUCCUGUUCAUCACUUUGGCUGACGCAAUAGUCAUAUGUAUAUGUAGGUAUGUAGGUUGCUUCUAAUUGCUCCGAUGCGAUCCAAGCGCAAGGCAUAUUAAAAUCUACUUCUUAAAUGAUAAAAGUCUUAAGAAAAAUUAAUAAAUUAACCAGUACUGGUUGUGCCGGACGUUUUUGACCCAGUACUUACAGUGAUUCUCCUAAAUCGUCCCACCUAAGCUCGGUUAAGCAAUCAGAAUACACGGCCAGGUUUCAGGGAUCCAAUAGAAAUGUUGGACCGUUUAUCUAGCUGCUUAGCAUGCGGACGGAGCUCCAUGGGGAUGCAGUUAUCUGUCUCUGAAUGCCGUGCGAUGGAUAUUUGUUCGAUUAGAUACGGAAAAGAUGGGCAGAGUGCUUUUCACUACAGUCUGGGCACGAGCUAUGAGGAUUUUCGACGAGGGAACGAAGACGUUGUCACCAAACACAACGGACCCGCUAAAGAUUUCAAAAACCUAACGAAUAAUGCCAGUUUAUAUCUGCAUAAUUGUACAUUUUGAAUAAUUACUGUAAUAUAUAUUUUUAACUAGUGUGCCGCCAUACGUUAAAUAAAUAAAUAAUUGCAGUUGUAA